ACGGAAGGUCCAGGUGUUAUCCGGAUUUAUUGGGUUUAAAGGGAGCGCAGGCGGACUCUUAAGUCAGUUGUGAAAUACGGCGGCUCAACCGUCGGACUGCAGUUGACACUGGGAGUCUUGAGUGCACACAGGGAUGCUGGAAUUCAUGGUGUAGCGGUGAAAUGCUCAGAUAUCAUGAAGAACUCCGAUCGCGAAGGCAGGUAUCCGGGGUGCAACUGACGCUGAGGCUCGAAAGUGCGGGUAUCAAACAGGAUUAGAUACCCUGGUAGUCCGCACAGUAAACGAUGAAUACUCGCGGUUGGCGAUAUACUGUCAGCCGCCAAGCGAAAGCGUUAAGUAUUCCACCUGGGGAGUACGCCGGCAACGGUG
rnacentral:rRNA from 1 species